UACGUAGGGGGCAAGCGUUGUCCGGAAUUAUUGGGCGUAAAGCGCGCGCAGGCGGCUUUGUAAGUCUGUCGUUUAAGUUCGGGGCUCAACCCCGUAUCGCGAUGGAAACUGCAAGGCUUGAGUACAGAAGAGGAAAGUGGAAUUCCACGUGUAGCGGUGAAAUGCGUAGAGAUGUGGAGGAACACCAGUGGCGAAGGCGACUACCUGGCCUGUUCUUGACGCUGAGGCGCGAAAGCUAGGGGAGCAAACGGG
rnacentral:rRNA from 1 species